UACGGAGGGUGCAAGCGUUAAUCGGAAUUACUGGGCGUAAAGCGCACGCAGGUGGCUGAGUCAGUCGAUUGUGAAAGCCCUGGGCUUAACCUGGGAAUUGCAGUCGAUACUACUCAGCUAGAGUAUGGGAGAGGGUAGUGGAAUUCCCGGUGUAGCGGUGAAAUGCGUAGAUAUCGGAAGGAACAUCAGUGGCGAAAGCGACUUCCUGGACCAAUACUGACGCUCAUGUGCGAAAGCGUGGGGAGCAAACAGG
rnacentral:rRNA from 1 species